rnacentral:rRNA from 1 species
GAUGAACGCUAGCGGGAGGCCUAACACAUGCAAGCCGAGCGGUAUUGUUUCUUCGGAAAUGAGAGAGCGGCGUACGGGUGCGUAACACGUGUGCAACCUGCCUUUAUCUGGGGGAUAGCCUUUCGAAAGGAAGAUUAAUACUCCAUAAUAUAUUGAACGGCAUCGUUUAAUAUUGAAAGCUCCGGCGGAUAGAGAUGGGCACGCGCAAGAUUAGCUAGUUGGUGAGGUAACGGCUCACCAAGGCGAUGAUCUUUAGGGGGCCUGAGAGGGUGAUCCCCCACACUGGUACUGAGACACGGACCAGACUCCAACGGGAGGCAGCAGUGAGGAAUAUUGGUCAAUGGGUGCAAGCCUGAACCAGCCAUCCCGUGUGAAGGACGACUGCCCUAUGGGUUGUAAACUUCUUUUGUAUAGGGAUAAACCUACCCUCGAGAGGGUAGCUGAAGGUACUAUACGAAUAAGCACCGGCUAACUCCGUG